rnacentral:rRNA from 1 species
AUUGAACGCUGGCGGCAUGCCUUACACAUGCAAGUCGAACGGUAACAGGUCUUCGGAUGCUGACGAGUGGCGAACGGGUGAGUAAUACAUCGGAACGUGCCCGAGAGUGGGGGAUAACGAAGCGAAAGCUUUGCUAAUACCGCAUACGAUCUCAGGAUGAAAGCAGGGGACCGCAAGGCCUUGCGCUCACGGAGCGGCCGAUGGCAGAUUGGGUAGUUGGUGGGAUAAAAGCUUACCAAGCCGACGAUCUGUAGCUGGUCUGAGAGGACGACCAGCCACACUGGGACUGAGACACGGCCCAGACUCCUACGGGAGGCAGCAGUGGGGAAUUUUGGAAAAUGGGCGCAAGCCUGAUCCAGCCAUGCCGCGUGCAGGAUGAAGGCCUUCGGGUUGUAAAUUGCUUUUGUACGGAACGAAAAGACUCCUUCUAAUAAAGGGGGUCCAUGACGGUACCGUAAGAAUAAGCACCGGCUAACUACGUGCCAGCCGCCGCAGUAAAAC